UACGGAGGGUGCAAGCGUUGUUCGGAAUUAUUGGGCGUAAAGCGCGUGUAGGCUGAUAUGUAGGUCAGAUGUGAAAUCCCUUGGCUCAACUAAGGAAGAGCAUCUGAAACCACAUGUCUUGAGUACGAUAGAGGAGAGUGGAAUUCCUAGUGUAGAGGUGAAAUUCAUAGAUAUUGGGAAGAACACCGGUGGCGAAGGCGGCUCUCUGGAUCGAUACUGACGCUGAUACGCGAAAGCGUGGGGAG
rnacentral:rRNA from 1 species